CUUCACCUUGCCAAACAUCGGUUUUCUUAGAAGUCUAAUAAGAGCAGCUUUGCACCGACAAUUAAGAUUUUACAGUGAGUUCAAGCUUGCAUUAGCACGAUGAGAUCCCUUCUGAUAUUGCUGGUCGUUCUUGCCAUGGUUUCUUUCCCAGAGGUUUCUGGCUGGUGCUCGGCAGGCAUUCCCGGUUGUGGGAAGAGAGCAGUGAACAAGGCAGCAGAGGAAGCCAAGAGAGAGGCGACAAUGGAGAGACUCCAAGAAUUAGAGAAAAAUAUGAAGAAAUGAGCACCAUGAAUAUGAUUCUAUAAGUGUCAGUAUGAUGAUAGCAGUUAGUAGGUAAACUAGCUUCGUAAUUGAGUUAAAUACUUUAGAUAASAUGCAACACACGUGGUCAUUUGACCACUGAGGUAUCCCGGAAUAACGCUGUCAUAAUCAAUAAAAGUUAAUGGUAACUCUA